UGAAUCUAAAACUUAACUUAGAACAACUCUCAGCA
rnacentral:rRNA from 1 species